rnacentral:rRNA from 1 species
CAGUCGCCACGGUAAUACGAAGGGGGCUAGCGUUGUUCGGAGUUACUGGGCGUAAAGCGCACGUAGGCGGAUCGAUCAGUCAGGGGUGAAAUCCCAGGGCUCAACCCUGGAACUGCCUUUGAUACUGUCGAUCUGGAGUAUGGAAGAGGUGAGUGGAAUUCCGAGUGUAGAGGUGAAAUUCGUAGAUAUUCGGAGGAACACCAGUGGCGAAGGCGGCUCACUGGUCCAUUACUGACGCUGAGGCACGAAAGCGUGGGGAGCAAACAGGAUUAGAUACCCGCGUAGUCCCUGUCUCUUAUAC